rnacentral:rRNA from 1 species
CCAGACUCCUACGGGAGGCAGCAGUGGGGAAUAUUGCACAAUGGGGGAAACCCUGAUGCAGCAACGCCGCGUGAGUGAAGAAGUAUUUCGGUAUGUAAAGCUCUAUCAGCAGGGAAGAAGAUGACGGUACCUGAGUAAGAAGCCCCGGCUAACUACGUGCCAGCAGCCGCGGUAAUACGUAGGGGGCAAGCGUUAUCCGGAUUUACUGGGUGUAAAGGGAGCGUAGACGGUGAGACAAGUCUGAAGUGAAAGCCCGGGGCUCAACCCCGGGACUGCUUUGGAAACUGCCUGACUGGAGUGCUGGAGAGGCAAGCGGAAUUCCUAGUGUAGCGGUGAAAUGCGUAGAUAUCAGGAGGAACACCGGUGGCGAAGGCGGCCUGCUGGACUGCGACUGACGUUGAGGCCCGAAAGCGUGGGGAGCAAACAGGAUUAGAUACCCCGGUAGCA